UCCUUCAAAUCAACAUAACCAAAACAAGGAAAUUAACAUAAACUUAGCAAUGACUUUCAUAAACAACAACAAUAAUUCAAUAAUGAGCUCAUCAACAACAGCAAUCCAGCAGCAGCAGUGCAACAAUAAUAGUGGCAGUCCAGCAAUAGUGCCAGUCCAGCAACAGCAGUUUCAGUUAAUUAAACCAUGAAAUAUUUACCUUCUUGAUUGACGAAUGCAGUAACAAACACAAAUGGCCCGAAAGACCAAAAACGAGGAACCUGCAUGUACGAUUCACAAACUGUGAAUGUUUUUUAUUUCAACGAUAUUGAUUGACGGAGAUUAUAAAAUCGGCAAAUUUAAAGGCUUCCUUCAACACUAACCUAAUGAUAGAUGAAAAGAUGGAGAUGAGAACUUGAAUCCACCUUAAGAUGUGUCUCCCCUUUUAUAGUCAAUCACUGAUAUGAAGAAGUUGUGAAUUGAAAGCUGGAAAUCGGAAUUGAAGCCAAAUUCAUGGAGCAAGCCUUUGAGAUUGGAAUCGUUGAUUGAAGGGAAUUAAUUAAGCCAUGGAAGAGUGGAAUUGACGGGGUUUAGAUGGGGAAGAAUGAAAUCACCGUUGAAGAGCUUUUAUGAGAUAGGUAUGAGAAUGGUAACG
rnacentral:lncRNA from 1 species